rnacentral:ncRNA from 2 species
GAAGUCCACUAGGGGCGCCUCUUUAAGAGGCUGAGAUAAGGUUAGUAGCCUUGGUCCCUUUGAACCUGAUCUGGUUAGUACCAGCGAAGGGAAGUGGAGUCGGUUGGCU